GUGCAUUAGCUAGUUGGUAAGGUAACGGCUUACCAAGGCGACGAUGCAUAGCCGAGUUGAGAGACUGAUCGGCCACAUUGGGACUGAGACACGGCCCAAACUCCUACGGGAGGCAGCAGUAGGGAAUCUUCCACAAUGGACGCAAGUCUGAUGGAGCAACGCCGCGUGAGUGAAGAAGGUUUUCGGAUCGUAAAGCUCUGUUGUUGGUGAAGAAGGAUAGAGGUAGUAACUGGCCUUUAUUUGACGGUAAUCAACCAGAAAGUCACGGCUAACUACGUGCCAGCAGCCGCGGUAAUACGUAGGUGGCAAGCGUUGUCCGGAUUUAUUGGGCGUAAAGCGAGCGCAGGCGGAAAAAUAAGUCUAAUGUGAAAGCCCUCGGCUUAACCGAGGAACUGCAUCGGAAACUGUUUUUCUUGAGUGCAGAAGAGGAGAGUGGAACUCCAUGUGUAGCGGUGGAAUGCGUAGAUAUAUGGAAGAACACCAGUGGCGAAGGCGGCUCUCUGGUCUGCAACUGACGCUGAGGCUCGAAA
rnacentral:rRNA from 1 species